GGAGAGGUCGCAUAGUGGACUAGUGCGGUCGCCUCGAAAGCGACUAGGCCCUCACAGGCCUCGAGAGUUCGAAUCUCUCCCUCUCCG
rnacentral:tRNA from 1 species